AUGGCUCAGGAUGAACGCUAGCGACAGGCCUAACACAUGCAAGUCGAGGGGCAGCGCGGAGUAGCAAUACUUGGCGGCGACCGGCGCACGGGUGAGUAACGCGUAUCCAACCUACCGGCUAUUCCGGGAUGGCCUUUCGAAAGAAAGAUUAAUACCGGAUAGCAUAGCGAGAAGGCAUCUUCUUGCUAUUAAAGAAUUUCGAUAACCGAUGGGGAUGCGUUCCAUUAGUUUGUUGGCGGGGUAACGGCCCACCAAGACAUCGAUGGAUAGGGGUUCUGAGAGGAAGGUCCCCCACAUUGGAACUGAGACACGGUCCAAACUCCUACGGGAGGCAGCAGUGAGGAACAUUGGUCAAUGGACGAGAGUCUGAACCAGCCAAGUAGCGUGAAGGAUGACUGCCCUAUGGGUUGUAAACUUCUUUUAUAUGGGAAUAAAGUGAGCCACGUGUGGCUUUUUGUAUGUACCAUACGAAUAAGGAUCGGCUAACUCCGUGCCAGCCGCCGC
rnacentral:rRNA from 1 species